AACGAACGCUGGCGGCAGGCCUAACACAUGCAAGUCGAGCGAGGACUUCGGUUCUAGCGGCGGACGGGUGAGUAACGCGUGGGAAUGUGCCCUUCUCUACGGAAUAGCCCUGGGAAACUGGGAGUAAUACCGUAUACGCCCUAUUGGGGAAAGAUUUAUCGGAGAAGGAUCAGCCCGCGUUGGAUUAGGUAGUUGGUGGGGUAAUGGCCUACCAAGCCGACGAUCCAUAGCUGGUUUGAGAGGACGAUCAGCCACACUGGGACUGAGACACGGCCCAGACUCCUACGGGAGGCAGCAGUGGAGAAUCUUAGACAAUGGGGGCAACCCUGAUCUAGCCAUGCCGCGUGAGUGAUGAAGGCCUUAGGGUUGUAAAGCUCUUUCAGCUGGGAAGAUAAUGACGGUACCAGCAGAAGAAGCCCCGGCUAACUCCGUG
rnacentral:rRNA from 1 species